AAUAUAUAUUAUUUGUUAUGUUUGUUUCUUGUUUUAUAUAUUUUGUAGAAGUUGCACCCACUCGUGAUCCCAAUGAAGAAGAUUCUGGUGUUGAGUCUGAUUAAAGUACAUCUUGUUAAGUUUUAUGGUUGGUUUGCAUUAUGAAGUUUUAGCUAUUUUGUUGGAGAAGACACCAUAACUUUGCUAAUUGCUAUCAGUUUAAUGACAAUUUAUUUUUAUUUUCAGUUGUGUUGACUGUUGAGCUAUUAAACUUCUUUAAUUGUCGUAUUUGAAUUCUAUUGUCGUUAUAUUUCAUUAGAUCAAGACUUUGUUAGCUA